AUCAUCAUUAUCUUUAUUUAUUAAUAUCGAACAACAACAAUCAAAUAAUCGAUGAAAUACUGCAUUUUUUCUUCAUUUCCGUUUGGACCAUUAUCGGGUGAUAAUCACAUAGUGCAUCUAGAAAAAAAAAUCAUUGCUAAUAAGCAAUGAGUAAGCAUCAUUUCCAUACAGGUAUUUAUUAUAAUCUAUAUGAUGAUGAUGAUGAUUCAGUUGCUGGUUGGAUUAAGUUUAGUCAUAUAUACGGAUACAAUAGACAAAUAGUAGAUUGUAGAUAAACAUUCAAAACAAGACGCCACCAUUAUCAUCAUCAUCAUUACAUUCAUUAUGACACCCGUUUAUAUAUAUUUUGUAGCCCGACCACACACACAACAAACAACCUUUUAACAAAUUUUUGAAUGAAUUCCUCUAUCACUACUAACUGAUCAAUGUUGCCACAAGUGCAUUUUACAUUCUCUUCUCUCUCUCUCUCUCUCUCUCUAUCUAUCUAUCUAUCAUUUUUGUUUGCCUCUCAAUUUCCUAUAUAUCUAUCUUUAUUGGCGGUUAACUUGCUUGGCAAGUUAUCUGCAAUUGUUUUUUUCUUCUUUUUGUUGUUGUUGUUGUCCUCGCUUCACUCAAUUUAUAAUAUCGGUUGUUUUUAUUAUCAUUGUCGUUUUUGGUUGAUUUAUGUUUGUCUGUUGGUUUGUGAUGAAAAAUUCCAAGUUCCAUAAUCAAUCAAUCUAUUUUUGUAUAAACUACGAUUCAAAUAAAUCUAGCUUCUACGUAUAAUUUCCACAUAUAAUAUGCGUGCAUACCAUAAUAAUAAUCUCUAUAUAUGUGUUCAAUUCAUCAAGAAUCUAAAUGAAAAAAAACUACAAAAUUCUGCAAUCAUUUUUAAUCAUCAUUAUCAUCAUCAUAUAUUUAUUAUUCGUAUUUAUUUCACACAUGUUGUCCAUACAAAAAAAAUGUUCAAAAAAAAUCAAUGAGAAAAUGAACCCAAAUUGAUCAACCAAUUUUGUCCAUAUUUGUUUGUCCGUAUAAUCAUUAAAUUGAAAACAUGAAGUGAAACAAAUCAACAACAACAAAACAGCAACAAAAAAACAGCAAAUAAUUGAAUGCCAUAAUUUGAUCAAUAUUGUUGAUGCUUCAACUUUGUUCUCGUUUAUUUAUUGUUUGUCUUGUUUUGUUUUCAUCAACAUCAAUCAUCAUUUCAAUUACUUUUCAUUUUCAUUUUUCUUUCCUUUCACUAACCAAAUUUGUUCCAUAAAUAAUGGACAACAUUUCGAUGGACAAACAAAUGUGAAAGAAAAAAAAAUUCUCAACAUAACGGUUUCGAAUGUUUUCGUUUUUUUUUGUUUGUUUUUUUGUU